CCUACGGGAGGCAGCAGUGAGGAAUAUUGGUCAAUGGACGAGAGUCUGAACCAGCCAAGUAGCGUGAAGGAUGACUGCCCUAUGGGUUGUAAACUUCUUUUAUAUGGGAAUAAAACGUUCCACGUGUGGGAUUUUGUAUGUACCAUAUGAAUAAGGAUCGGCUAACUCCGUGCCAGCAGCCGCGGUAAUACGGAGGAUCCGAGCGUUAUCCGGAUUUAUUGGGUUUAAAGGGAGCGUAGGUGGAUUGUUAAGUCAGUUGUGAAAGUUUGCGGCUCAACCGUAAAAUUGCAGUUGAAACUGGCAGUCUUGAGUACAGUAGAGGUGGGCGGAAUUCGUGGUGUAGCGGUGAAAUGCUUAGAUAUCACGAAGAACUCCGAUUGCGAAGGCAGUUCACUGGACUGCAACUGACACUGAGGCUCGAAAGUGUGUGUAUCAAACAGGAUUAGAUACCCCGGUAGUC
rnacentral:rRNA from 1 species